rnacentral:misc_RNA from 1 species
AACGCAUCUUGCACUAUUCGGCUUCCCCGGAUAGUAUGCCUGGUUGAGUGUCUGUGUAUCUCUCCUAAUUCAACGUUUGUUGGAAUAGGGACUUGGGGUCUUUUAUCGUCGGAAACUUUUAUAGGCAACCGGUGAACCCUUUAAAUACAGUAAGCUCCCAUCAGUACUCCAAAACUUAUGGAAAUACGCAAACUUGGGGAUGGCGUCGUAGCAAUCACUUUUAACGGUAUUGUCGAAGCGCCUAUACAUACCUCUAAACUGCGGUGCUAAUCCAUAAACGCUGACUUGGGUGAAGCUUAACGACUGGCAAAGUGCCAUGCUCCACUACUAUAUCGGAGCAACACGAACAUCAAUGACCUCAACUCAGGUAGGACGACCCGCUGGACUUAA